rnacentral:rRNA from 1 species
AGAGUUUGAUCCUGGCUCAGGAUGAACGCUAGCGGCAGGCUUAACACAUGCAAGUCGAGGGGUAACAGGAGUAGCUUGCUACUUGCUGACGACCGGCGCACGGGUGCGUAACGCGUAUACAAUCUACCUUUUGCUGAGGGAUAGCCCAGAGAAAUUUGGAUUAACACCUCAUGGUAUGUAGGGAUGGCAUCAUCCUAUAUUAAAGGUUACGGCAGAAGAUGAGUAUGCGUUCUAUUAGCUAGAUGGUGUGGUAACGGCACACCAUGGCGACGAUAGAUAGGGGCCCUGAGAGGGGGAUCCCCCACACUGGUACUGAGACACGGACCAGACUCCUACGGGAGGCAGCAGUGAGGAAUAUUGGGCAAUGGAGGCAACUCUGACCCAGCCAUGCCGCGUGCAGGAAGACUGCCCUAUGGGUUGUAAACUGCUUUUAUACAGGAAGAAACACUCCCUCGUGAGGGAGCUCUCUUGACGGUACUUCCAAAGGAAGCCCCGGCUAACUCCGUGCCAGCAGCCGCGGUAAUACGGAGGGGGCUAGCGUUGUUCGGAAUCACUGGGCGUAAAGCGCGCGUAGGCGGUUUAUCAAGUUGGGCGUGAAAGCCCGGGGCUCAACCCCGGAACUGCGUUCAAAACUGGUUGAAUAGAGUCCGAGAGAGGGUGGUGGAAUUCCCAGUGUAGAGGUGAAAUUCGUAGAUAUUGGGAAGACCCCAGUGGCGAAGGCGGCCACCUGGCUCGGUACUGACGCUGAGGUGCGAAAGCGUGGGGAGAAAACAGGAUUAGAUACCCUGGUAGUCCACGCCGUAAACGAUGGUCACUAGCUGUUUGGACUUCGGUCUGAGUGGCUAAGCGAAAGUGAUAAGUGACCCACCUGGGGAGUACGUUCGCAAGAAUGAAACUCAAAGGAAUUGACGGGGGCCCGCACAAGCGGUGGAGCAUGUGGUUUAAUUCGAUCAUACGCGAGGAACCUUACCAGGGCUAAAUGUAAGUUGCAUGAUUUAGAGAUAGAUCUUUCUUCGGACUACUUACAAGGUGCUGCAUGGUUGUCGUCAGCUCGUGCCGUGAGGUGUCAGGUUAAGUCCUAUAACGAGCGCAACCCCUGUUGUUAGUUGCCAGCGAGUCAUGUCGGGAACUCUAACAAGACUGCCGGUGCAAACCGUGAGGAAGGUGGGGAUGACGUCAAAUCAUCACGGCCCUUACGUCCUGGGCUACACACGUGCUCAAUGGUAGGUACAGAGAGCAGCCACUUCGUGAGAAGGAGCGAAUCUAUAAAACCUAUCACAGUUCCGAUCGGAGUCUGCAACUCGACUCCGUGAAGCUGGAAUCGCUAGUAAUCGGAUAUCAGCCAUGAUCCGGUGAAUACGUUCCCGGGCCUUGUACACACCGCCCGUCAAGCCAUGGAAGUUGGAAGUGCCUGAAGUCCGUCACCGCAAGGAGCGGCCUAGGGUAAAGUCGAUAACUAGGGCUAAGUCGUAACAAGGUAACC